AAAAAAAUGGUUGAACCAGCCUUUUAAAUAGUUUAAAGUCCGAUUCAAAGUUAGUUAAGUGCUCAUUGCAUCCAUCUCAAUUUGUAUCAACCAAAAUGGUUGCUUAACUGCGCUUAAUUUGAAUUGGACAACGUGCGACAUCAACGCGCAUUCAAAUAUAACCCAUAGAUGAAAGCCUAACAGUUUGAAUGACAGCAGUAGAUAAAAAGAGACGACGCAGCAGGCAUUGGCAUUUAGCUGCAAUUCGAAAUGACACAAAAAAAAAAGAGAAAAACCAUCCCGAAAUCAAUCAGUCAGCACGGCAACAACAACAACACUUCGCUAUGUAACCGCCGGGUUCGUGCUAAAAGAAAAACCAUAUCGGAUGGAAAUCAAAUUAAAUGUGUCUGAAUUGUGGCAAUGGGUUGACGUAGGCAUAGAAUAUGCUUUUGCCGCCUAAAUGCUGCCCCGUUGGCUGGCCCCUUUUUGGCAUUGUUCUGUUUAUAAGCUUUGCACUUUUGUUAAAUGUUUGACACAGUUUCUGGGUCGUUUAGCUGCUGCUUCUGCUGCCAUCACUGCGAUUGAGUCUAUUCGGUCCUCUUUUCAUAUAAAUGCCAUUAUAAUUCUACCUUGAGAUGUCUUUAUGCUGCGCAGAAAGCUGGCGUCAAAUUCUGAAAGACUCUUUCCCCAAAAAUGAAAGCCAUGCCGAAAAUGUACAAGUCAUGUUCUGGAAAGCGUAACAAAAUCACAGAGCAACAAAAGAAAAAGCAAAAUAAAUAUAAUACGAAAUAAAAGCAUAGAGAAAAUUGUA